rnacentral:misc_RNA from 1 species
UCCGGCUUAUCACCGGCAGUUUCUUUAGAGUGCCCAACUAAAUGGUAGCAACUAAAGACGAGGGUUGCGCUCGUUGCGGGACUUAACCCAACAUCUCACGACACGAGCUGACGACAGCCAUGCAGCACCUGUGUGCAGGUCCCCGAAGGGAAGGAAUCCAUCUCUGGAAGCCGUCCUGCCAUGUCAAGGCCAGGUAAGGUUCUUCGCGUUGCAUCGAAUUAAGCCACAUACUCCACCGCUUGUGCAGGCCCCCGUCAAUUCCUUUGAGUUUUAAUCUUGCGACCGUACUCCCCAGGCGGUCGACUUCACGCGUUAGCUGCGGUACUAAGGAAGUCUCCUUCCCCAACACCUAGUCGACAUCGUUUAGGGCGUGGACUAC